rnacentral:rRNA from 1 species
UACGUAGGGUGCAAGCGUUGCCCGGAUUUAUUGGGCGUAAAGGGCGCGUAGGCGGCUCUGCACGUCCGUUGUGAAAUCGCCCGGCUCAACUGGGCGGGGUCAGCGGAUACGGCAGAGCUUGAGCAAGCUAGGGGGCAAUGGAAUUCCCGGUGUAGUGGUGGAAUGCGUAGAUAUCGCCUGGAACGCCGAAGGUGAAAACAGUCUGCUGGGGGCGUGCCGACGCUGAGACACGAAAGCCAGGGGAGCGAACGGG